rnacentral:rRNA from 1 species
AUUGAACGCUGGCGGCAUGCCUUACACAUGCAAGUCGAACGGUAACGGGCCUUCGGGUGCCGACGAGUGGCGAACGGGUGAGAAAUACAUCGGAACGUGCCCGAUCGUGGGGGAUAACGAGGCGAAAGCUUUGCUAAUACCGCAUACGAUCUACGGAUGAAAGCAGGGGACCGCAAGGCCUUGCGCGGACGGAGCGGCCGAUGGCAGAUUAGGUAGUUGGUGGGAUAAAAGCUUACCAAGCCGACGAUCUGUAGCUGGUCUGAGAGGAUGAUCAGCCACACUGGGACUGAGACACGGCCCAGACUCCUACGGGAGGCAGCAGUGGGGAAUUUUGGACAAUGGGCGCAAGCCUGAUCCAGCCAUGCCGCGCGCAGGAUGAAGGCCUUCGGGUUGUAAACUGCUUUUGUACGGAACGAAAAGCCUUCUUUUAAUACAGGAGGGUCAUGACGGUACCGUAAGAAUAAGCACCGGCUAACUACGUG